GACGAACGCUGGCGGCGUGCCUAAUACAUGCAAGUCGAACGCUUCUCUCCUCCCGAGUGCUUGCACUCAAUUGGAAAGAGGAGUGGCGGACGGGUGAGUAACACGUGGGUAACCUACCCAUCAGAGGGGGAUAACGACUCGGAAACAGGUAGCUAAUACCGCAUAACAGUUUAUGCCGCAUGGCAUAAGAGUGAAAGGCGCUUUCGGGUGUACGCUUGAUGGAUGGACCCGCGGUGCAUUAGCUAGUUGGUGAGGUAACGGCUCGACCAAGGCCACGAUGCAUAGCCGACCUGAGAGGGUGAUCGGCCACACUGGGACUGAGACACGGCCCAG
rnacentral:rRNA from 1 species